rnacentral:rRNA from 1 species
CCGAAUAAGAAGGUCCGGCUAACUUCGUGCCAGCAGCCGCGGUAAUACGAAGGGACCUAGCGUAGUUCGGAAUUACUGGGCUUAAAGAGUUCGUAGGUGGUUGAAAUAGUUGGUGGUGAAAUCCCAGAGCUUAACUCUGGAACUGCCAUCAAAACUUUUCAGCUAGAGUAUGAUAGAGGAAAGCAGAAUUUCUAGUGUAGAGGUGAAAUUCGUAGAUAUUAGAAAGAAUACCAAUUGCGAAGGCAGCUUUCUGGAUCAUUACUGACACUGAGGAACGAAAGCAUGGGUAGCGAAGAGGAUUAGAUACCCUCGUAGUCCAUGCCGUAAACGAUGUGUGUUAGACGUUGGAAAUUUAUUUUCAGUGUCGCAGGGAAACCGAUAAACACACCGCCUGGGGAGUACGACCGCAAGGUUAAAACUCAAAUGAAUUGACGGGGACCCGCACAAGUAGUGGAGCAUGUGGUUUAAUUCGAAGAUACGCGCAGAACCUUACCAACACUUGACAUGUUCGUCGCGACUCUAAGAGAUUAGAGUUUUCGGUUCGGCCGGACGAAACACAGGUGCUGCAUGGCUGUCGUCAGCUCGUGUCGUGAGAUGUUGGGUUAAGUCCCGCAACGAGCGCAACCCUCACUUUUAGUUGCCAUCAUUAAGUUGGGCACUCUGAAAGAACUGCCAGUGAUAAGCUGGAGGAAGGUGGGGAUGACGUCAAGUCCUCAUGGCCCUUACGUGUUGGGCUACACACGUGCUACAAUGGUAUCUACAACAGGAAGCAAGACUGCGAAGUUAAGCAAAUCCCUAAAAGAUACCUCAGUUCGGAUUGCACUCUGCAACUCGAGUGCAUGAAGCUGGAAUUACUAGUAAUCGUGGAUCAGCGUGCCACGGUGAAUGCGUUCCCGGGUCUUGUACACACCGCCCGUCACACCAUGGGAGUUGGUUCUACCUUAAGGCAAGGUUUCAAACCCUUGACCACGGUAUAGUCAGCGACUGGGGUG